rnacentral:rRNA from 1 species
CAAUAGCGUAUAUUAAAGUUGUUGCGGUUAAAAAGCUCGUAGUUGGAUUUCUGCCGAGGACGACCGGUCCGCCCUCUGGGUGAGUAUCUGGCUCGGCCUGGGCAUCUUCUUGGAGAACGUAGCUGCACUUGACUGUGUGGUGCGGUAUCCAGGACUUUUACUUUGAGGAAAUUAGAGUGUUUCAAGCAGGCUUACGCCUUGAAUACAUUAGCAUGGAAUAAUAAGAUAGGACCUCGGUUCUAUUUUGUUGGUUUCUAGAGCUGAGGUAAUGAUUAAUAGGGAUAGUUGGGGGCAUUCGUAUUUAACUGUCAGAGGUGGAAUUCUUGGAUUUGUUAAAGACGGACUACUGCGAAAGCAUUUGCCAAGGAUGUUUNCAUUGA